GACGAACGCUGGCGGCGUGCUUAACACAUGCCAGUCGAACGGAAAGGCCCUGCUUGUGUGGGGUGCUCGAGUGGCGAACGGGUGAGUAACACGUGAGUAACCUGCCCUUGACUUUGGGAUAACUUCAGGAAACUGGGGCUAAUACCGGAUAGCAGCUCCUGCUGCAUGGUGGGGGUGGGAAAGUUUGGGCGGGUGGGGAUGGACGCGCGGCUGAUCAGCUUGUUGGUGGGGGAGUGGCUUGCCAAGGCAUUGACGGGUAGCCCACAUGUGAGGGUGACUGGCCACAUUGGGCCUGAGAUAGGGACCAGAAGCCUACAGGAGGCAGCAGUGGGGAACAUUACCCAAUGGGCGGACGUCUGAUGCAGCAACGCCGCGUGCGGGAUGACGGCUUUCGGGUUGUAAAAAGCUUUAGCCUGUGACGAAGCGUGAGUGACGGUAAUGGGUAAAGAAGCACCGGCUAACUACGUG
rnacentral:rRNA from 1 species